rnacentral:rRNA from 1 species
UACGAAGGGGGCUAGCGUUGCUCGGAAUUACUGGGCGUAAAGCGCGCGUAGGCGGCUUUGUAAGUUAGAGGUGAAAGCCCAGGGCUUAACCCUGGAAUUGCCUUUAAGACUGCAUCGCUAGAAUCGUGGAGAGGUGAGUGGAAUUCCGAGUGUAGAGGUGAAAUUCGUAGAUAUUCGGAAGAACACCAGUGGCGAAGGCGACUCACUGGACACGUAUUGACGCUGAGGUGCGAAAGCGUGGGGAGCAAACAGG